rnacentral:rRNA from 1 species
UACGAAGGGGGCGAGCGUUGUUCGGAUUUACUGGGCGUAAAGGGCGCGCAGGCGGCAGAUCAAGUCAGACGUGAAAGCCCCGGGCUUAACCUGGGAACUGCGUUUGGGACUGAUUUGCUAGAGAUCGGGAGAGGAGAGUGGAAUUCCCAGUGUAGAGGUGAAAUUCGUAGAUAUUGGGAAGAACACCAGUGGCGAAGGCGGCUCACUGGCCCGGUACUGACGCUGAGGUGCGAAAGCGUGGGGAGCAAACAGG